AGGAUGAUUUGUCCAAAUUUGAACAGACCUUGGAAGACUAUCGGUUCUUUUCUGUUUUUAUUACAUUACCCUCUCUGUAAGGACUCUCGCAAGAGAGUUGACAGUAUUGUGAAAUAAAUAAAUAAA